AUGGAGCUGAGGCUGAGGCUGGGUUUUCCUCGUACUUUUUUAAAAGGUGUCCGGUCUGAGGUGAAGCUGGUGGAGUCUGGAGGAGGGUUGGUGCAGCCUGGGGGGUCCUUGAAACUCUCCUGUGCAGCCUCUGGCUUCCGCUUCAGUGACAACUCCAUGACCUGGAUCCGUCAGACUCCAGAGAAGAGGCUUGAGUGGCUCUCAUACGUCAGUGGUGGUGGUAGAGAUACAGAAUAUGCGGAAUCCGUGAAAGGCAGAUUCACCAUCUCCAGAGACAAUGCCAAGAGCACCCUGUACCUGCAAAUGAACAGCCUGAGAUCUGAGGACACGGCGACCCAUUACUGCACAACACAAUGA